UCACUGCUUGCGCAGGCAGUCUGUCUAGAGUCCCCGGCAUUAUCCGCUGGCAACUAAACAUAGGGGUUGCGCUCGUUGCGGGACUUAACCCAACACCUCACGGCACGAGCUGACGACGGCCAUGCAGCACCUUGCUUUGUGUCCCGAAGGAAAAGUCCAUCUCUGGACCGGUCACGCGCAUUCUAGCCUAGGUAAGGUUCCUCGCGUAUCAUCGAAUUAAACCACAUGCUCCACCACUUGUGCGGGCCCCCGUCAAUUCCUUUGAGUUUCACCGUUGCCGGCGUACUCCCCAGGUGGGAUACUUAUCGCUUUCGCUAAGCCACUGAUAAUCUUUAACCAGCAGCGAGUAUCCAUCGUUUACGGCGUGGACUAC
rnacentral:misc_RNA from 1 species